UACGUAGGGGGCGAGCGUUGUCCGAAGUUACUGGGCGUAAAGCGCGCGUAGGCGGUCAUUUAAGUCUGAGGUGAAAGGUUCAGCGCUCAACGUGAACAGUGCCUUGGAUACUGGGUGACUUGAGUUCGGGAGGGGGCAGUGGAAUUCCAGGUGUAGCGGUGAAAUGCGUAGAUAUUGGGAGGAACACCAGUGGCGAAGGCGGCUCACUGGACCGGAACUGACGCUGAUGCGCGAAAGCGUGGGGAGCAAACGGG
rnacentral:rRNA from 1 species